rnacentral:lncRNA from 10 species
CGCAGUCCCUCUGCGGAAGGCGCCGCUCUUGGCUUCGGCGGCGCCGCUGUAGCUUGGAGGCGGUACUUCCUCCAGCAUUUGCCGCGAGUUAUUGGCAAGUUCCCCUGCAGUUGUUUGGGCUGUCGCUGUGGCUGGUUCUGCGGUGUGCGGCCAGCCAUGGAGCGCUCUGGGCCCAGCGAAGUGACAGGCUCAGACGCAUCGGGACCGGACCCGCAGCUUGUGGUCACCAUGGGCUUCACGGGGUUCGGGGUUCGGUAAAAAAGCUCACACAUUUGACUUGGAAGCAAUGUUUGAACAAACUCAAAGAACAGCUGUGGAAAGAAGUCACAAAACACUGGACCAGAUUACAGAGGGGUAUUGAUUUGCCUUGCCCCCGCCCCCACCAUCACAGUGUGUCCCUGUCCAGUGUUGGUGCUGUGUGGCAUUGCUUGUGUCCAUAGGAGUCCAUCAAGGCAGAGCGGCAGAGCGGCAAGCAGAGCGGCAAGGCAGGUCAGCUUCCGGCUCUUCCAGGCUGCAUGUCCCCCUCAAUAUCCUUUCAACCCAAUGGAAAUGGAUUGAAAGAGUGAAAGUCACUGGUCUCAAAGAAUCUACGGAAUUUAGCAUUUUGAAAAUCACAGAGCAAUUUUGGGUAGGUAUUCACAUGCACUAAAAAACCAGGCAAACAUCUGACUCCCAGGAUAAAGUGACUGAGAGCAGUAGAAGACUUGUUGAGCCUUAAGGAAUAAGAGGAAAAUUAUGUUAUGAAGUGCAGGAACAGCACAGACCCAGACGAGGGGAUGCAGCCCGGAGCCAGUAACCCGGCGCCUCCUCCUCCCCAGGGCGCAGCGCUGGCUGCUCCCCGGAUACCGUGAUCACACGUCCCAGGUCCUGAGAGCGCCUCAUAGGUAGACAGUUCUUUGGGACUUUUGGGACGCAGCACUUGAAGAGAGGUUUACCUAAACUUUCCUCCUGGGAGCCUGUCAUCAUUUGAAAGUAACAGAAGAAAGCUGUCAGGCUGAGGAAAGUUUCAACAGGCACUUGGUGAGAAUGGGAAGCAUCCAUUCAUUGGGAAAUCACGGGGACAGAGGAGGAAUUCACGGGAUCAGAGCACUGAGAAACUCCAGAGGCUUCUGGUUCACCGCCCUGAUUCCACAGAUGUGGGUCAGAGGCAGAGAUGGAAGUUGGAAUGGACAAGCCUGCCCUCUCCUCAGCUCUCCAUGGCUCUGUCCUCAGGCUGUUUCUGCAAUUUGACAUGAGGCCUGGCCCCAGGGAAACCAGUGGGGCCUCAUCUCCUCCCUGUGCUGCUCUGAGGUGGAGCCUUCUCAGGGUCAGUCCAGCUCUGGAGCCCCUCUCCAGCUCGGUCACCAAAGCUGUCUGGUCCCAGGGCAGUGUGGAGUGACAGGCACGCCAGCCAAUCCAAUCGGCCAUUUCAUACCCAAUGCAUGUGACUGAUAAAGAGAUAACACCCUGUCUCCAAGACACAGGCUUUACAUAAACAGCUUUAAUGACUUCUUCACUUAGGGACAAGACUCCUUAGUGGUGGAACCUCAGGCAUCCAUGCAGGAUGUAAGAAAGCUCCCGUAUAUACAUGAACUGAGAAGUGUGUAGAAGAGUAAAUACUGUAAUAGGUAAUAAAAUGUAUGUAUUUUUAUUUAUGUG